CCUUAUGGUGCUUUUCUUUCUGGCAUACUUGUUAAGUUUUCAAAUGGGCCUGGCUCUGCCAUGUGUAUUAUAUAUACAUCC